rnacentral:lncRNA from 1 species
GAUUGAUUUUUUUUCUUCUUUCUUUUUUUUUUGAUUAAUGCCCCAGUUGGCUGUUCUGCUGAUUCUCGAGAUGCAGCUGAGUGAUCUUCUUUUCUUGCUCAAGAAGUCGGGAAAUACCGUCAGGAAUCCCUUUAACAUCAUCUUCUUCCGCUUCGAAUACAGGGAAUUCAAAAUUGGGAGAUGACGUCCGAUCAUUAUGUUUAAUGGGUUUGAGAAACAACCUGCAUAAAGAUUUUAAUAUGAA